rnacentral:rRNA from 1 species
GCAAGUCGAACGCAGUAGCAAUACUGAGUGGCAGACGGGUGAGUAUAAUGUGGGUAUCUGCCUUUUGGUUUGGAAUAACUCGGGGAAACUUGAGCUAAUACCGAAUAAGCCCUUACGGGGAAAGAUUUAUCGCCGAAAGAUGAGCCCGCACUUGAUUAGCUUGUUGGUGAGGUAAAAGCUCACCAAGGCAACGAUCAAUAGCUGUUCUUAGAGGAAGACCAGCCACAUUGGGACUGAGACACGGCCCAGACUCCUACGGGAGGCAGCAGUAGGGAAUCUUGCACAAUGGGGGAAACCCUGAUGCAGCGAUGCCGCGUGAGUGAAGAAGGCCUUUGGGUUGUAAAACUCUUUCGUCGGGGAAGAAAAUGACUGUACCCGAAUAAGAAGGUCCGGCUAACUUCGUGCCAGCAGCCGCGGUAAUACGAAGGGAUCUAGCGUAGUUCGGAAUUACUGGGCUUAAAAGAGCUCGUAGGUGGUUAAAAAAGUUGGUGGUGAAAUCCCAAGGCUUAACCUUGGAACUGCCAUCAAAACUUUUUAGGCUUGAGUG